UUGGAGGGCAAGUCUGGUGCCAGCAGCCGCGGUAAUUCCAGCUCCAAUAGCGUAUAUUAAAGUUGUUGCAGUUAAAAAGCUCGUAGUUGAAUUUCGGGGUUCUACCGUUGGUCGGGCUUUGUCUGUACUGGUGUGUAGAAUUUCUACCUUCUGGGGAACCAUCAUGCUAUUAAUUUAGCGUGGUGGGAAACCAGGACCUUUACCUUGAAAAAAUUAGUGUGUUCAAAGCAGGCUUAUGUCUGAAUACAUUAGCGUGGAAUAAUAGAAUAGGACGGUGGUCCUGUUUUGUUGGUUUCUGAAUCACCGUAAUGAUUAAUAGGGAUAGUUGGGGGCAUUAGUAUUCAAUUGUCAGAGGUGAAAUUCUUGGAUUUAUUGAAGACUAACUUCUGCGAAAGCAUUUGCCAAGGAUGUUUUCAUUAAUCAAGAACGAAAGUUAGGGGAUCGAAGACGGUCAGAUAUCGUCGUAGUCUUAACCUUAAACUAUGCCGACUAGGGAUCGGACGAUGUUAAUUUUUCUUGACUCGUUCGGCGCCUUACGGGAAAC
rnacentral:rRNA from 1 species